CUUCUCUCUCUCGUUCUCUAUCUCUCUCUCUCUCUCUCUCUUCUCUUGCCUCUCUAUCUCUCUCUUCUUUCUUCUCUCCUCUUCUCUCUCUUCCUUUCCCUCUCUCUCUUCUCUCUCUCUCCUCUCUCUCUCUCUGUCUUUCUCUCUCUCUCUCUCUCUCUCUUCUUCUCUCUCUCUCGCUCUCCUUUCUCUCUCUCUCUCUCUCUCGCCAUCCAACUAGAGCUCUGUCUCUUCCUGGCAUGGAGGGAGAGGAGGGAAGAAAGUAAAGAAAGAGAGAUUGGGAACUAGAGAAUGACAUAAGGACACGAGUACGACAUGGUCAGCAUCACCUUGUCAGCUUGUGCGCCUUCGUUCAACAGAAUCACCACAAAGGAUUCAAAAGGGCAUUUUGUUAAUUUUGUCUUUUGGAUUUUUGAUAUUACAUCUUUUUUUAAACAUUACUGGAGUUCCCAAUUUAUUUAAGGAGGACGGAAAGUAGAUGUGCCAUGUGCUACCUUACCUAUGGUACUGUAGGGUCCUGUGGGUAAACAACUGUACUGACAGAGCACGCUGGUUUUCAUGCUGCGUAGGUUUGAAAACCGUCCAAUCUUUAUGCACCUGGGACAAUGUGGAUUGUAUGGACAGUUUUGAAAACCGUCCAAUCUUUAUGCACCUGGGACAAUGUG
rnacentral:lncRNA from 1 species